rnacentral:lncRNA from 1 species
CUUAUGUUCUGUUAUUCCACAAGUUGCCAUGGAAAUGAGCUUGAGGUUGCAGAUUUAGUGAAGUAUCCUAUCUUGUGAAACAAAGGCAAGAGGGAAGUAAUGCUGUGGGCCAGAAGCCUCGUGUGAGAGUCUGUUGCCUGAGAUCAGCCGAGGCUACUAACAUUUUCCUGAGGAAGGAACACAUACAAGGGAGAAGGAACAAUGAACUUGAGAGCAUCAAGCUACUUAAAAAUAAGGUUCACUGCCACCUCCCCCACCAUACUUUACUGUGAGUAAAGCUUCAGCACUAAUGUUGUGUACAGUGGUUGUAGUGCAGGGCUGUCAGUCCUAAUUAUUGAGAAACUG